rnacentral:ncRNA from 1 species
CAAAAGUUUGGUCCUAACUUUACUAUCAGCUUUACCUCAACUUAUACAUGCAAGUAUCUGCGCCCCAGUGAGAAUGCCCACAACCUUCUUAUGUAGGUUGGGAGCGGGUAUCAGGCACACCCACGUAGCCCACGACACCUUGUUUAGCCACACCCCCAAGGGAAUCCAGCAGUAAUAAAUAUUAAACAAUAAGCGAAAGCUUGAUUUAGUUAGAGCUAAGAGAGCCGGUAAAUCUUGUGCCAGCCACCGCGGUUAUACAAGAGACUCAAGUUGAUAGUACCCGGCGUAAAGGGUGGUUAAGAAAAUAAUAAACUAAAGCCAAAUGCCCGCAAGACUGUUAUACGUACACGAGGGUAAGAAGUCCAAUCACGAAAGUAGCUUUAUCGCCUCUGACCCCACGAAAGCUGUGAAACAAACUGGGAUUAGAUACCCCACUAUGCUCAGCCUUAAACUUUGAUAGCCUACUACACUCGCUAUUCGCCUGAGAACUACAAGUGCAAACUUUAAACUCAAAGGACUUGGCGGUGCUCAACAUCCAUCUAGAGGAGCCUGUCCUAUAACCGAUACUCCCCGUUAAACCUCACCCCCUCUUGCAUUCCAGCCUAUAUACCGCCGUCGUCAGCUUACUUUGUGAAAAAUAAGCAGUGAGCAAAACUGGUAAAACCUAAAACGACAGGUCGAGGUGUAGCUUAUGAGGUGGGAAGAGAUGGGCUACAUUCCCUCACUUAGGGCAUACGAACAGUGUGUUGAAACACAUACUAGAAGGAGGAUUUAGUAGUAAGUAAAAAAUAGAGUGUCUUACUGAAACUGGCACUAGAGCGCGCACACACCGCCCGUCACUCUCCCCAAAAUCCUACACUAUAAUAACUAAUACGUUAAAUAUAAAAUUAGGGGAGACAAGUCGUAACAUGGUAAGUGUACCGGAAGGUGUACUUGGAUAAAA